rnacentral:rRNA from 1 species
AUUGAACGCUGGCGGCAUGCCUUACACAUGCAGGUCGAACGGCAGCACGGGAGCAAUCCUGGUGGCGAGUGGCGAACGGGUGAGUAAAGUAUCGGAACGUGCCCAGUCGUGGGGGAUAACGUAGCGAAAGUUACGCUAAUACCGCAUACGAUCUAUGGAUGAAAGCGGGGGAUCGCAAGACCUCGCGCGAUUGGAGCGGUCGAUAUCAGAUUAGGUAGUUGGUGGGGUAAAGGCCCACCAAGCCGACGAUCUGUAGCUGGUCUGAGAGGACGACCAGCCAACCUGGGACGGAGACACGGCCCAGACUCCUACGGGAGGCAGCAGUGGGGAAUUUUGGACAAUGGGCGAAAGCCUGAUCCAGCCAUGCCGCGUGCAGGAUGAAGGCCUUAGGGUUGUAAACUGCUUUUGUACGGAACGAAAAGGACUGCCCUAAUACGGUGGUCCCAUGACGGUACCGUAAGAAUAAGCACCGGCUAACUACGUGCCAGCCGCCGCCGUAACAC